rnacentral:misc_RNA from 1 species
GAGAGAGAGAGAGAGAGGGACAGUAUAUUCUUUUUUUAUUUUUCUUCGUCAAUUUAACUCGUUUUGCACGAUUUUGUCUUUCCCUCUGCAGUUUCCAUUUCUAUCUGGGAACCAUCACACGAACCAUCCACUAUUCUCAACUUUCAUUUCCUCCCUCUUCUCCUUUUCUUCUCCCUCUUCUUUUAAGACUCUGUUUUUAGGGCCUUCGUAUCUAGCCCUCUACUUUCUUUCUACACCUCCUCUGCUGAACUCUUCAACGUUAGGAACUGGUUGUCAAGUAAUUAAAUCCAGUGUUGGUGUACUAGUUUCCUGCCAAUUUCUGGAAGUGGCUAUUUAAUACUGUUCUUCAAUACUCCUUUGUGUGUUUGGUUAAAAAUUUUCGAUGAGUAAUCUCAAGCUAGGAGUG